UCAAGAGAAAUACUGAAAGAAACUUCUACCAUGCAUCACAUGGGCUAUAAAAAAGACAGAAAAUCUGAAAAAUCUUCUUUUCUUAAUGAUGCAAAAAUAUAAUUUCCAGUUCUGUUUUAUCCUAGAAGCAGACCUUGAUCUGGCCCUGAUGAAAGGCUAGAUUUUUUACACCCCAGAUUUCCUAACACAGCAUGUUGUUGAGAACCUCAGUUUAGACAGAAAGCAAUACUUGAGCAAGUUUUAGCAGAAGCUCCUUGAAACUGCUCAGGUUUUCAAGUAGUUCUGCCAGAAGAUAUAUAUACUGGAGAAAAUACAGGUGAAGCAGUCUAACCUGCAUAAUAACUAAAUGCAAAACAUGUAACAAUGUAUACUUUAUCACUGCCACAGUAUAUAAAAUACAUACAAUCGGGUCAAGGAGAAAGGAAACCUGGGUUAUUGCUGUUGGUGAGACACACACAUAUUUCCACUUCCAUGUAAGGUCGUAUUUACUAUGUUGUAAAGAGAAAAUACAGAAAAACACCUUCCCUCCGAGAGAGAUCAUUUGUCUUGCUACAAUAAUCUUAUUUCAUCUUGUAAUUGGAAACACUGUGCAGCAAUUAGAGCAAGGAUGUUUGCUGUAUUGUACAAAGAAACAAACCUAGACAAGACUCUUACUUUAUCAUCCAAAAUAACAUCUAGAAGCCAUGGAUGAAGUUUGAAAAUUCUUAUUAAAACUGGCCUGGAUUAUUUGCAGUGCAAGCCUUCUAAAUCAUGCAACCUGCUACAAUCUAGUCUGUAAGAAGGACGUGAUACACCUAAAGCCAGCAAGUUAAAUUCUGACAUUACAUCUUGGAUAAAUGUGGUGCGCUGAUGAGUCAUGAAACUGUUACUGGAAAACAGCUAAUCAUUACUGAAGGAUUCCACUUGCUUUUUUCAGGGACCUCCUGACUGGAGAUGUCAGGCAUGAAAACAGAAGAAUCAAACUAAGAAAAAUCAGAGAAGACUGACCUUCCACCUGGGGGAAAGAAUUAAGAGCAUGCUGCUUGCUAGGUCUCUAUCUCCACCAGUACCUUAAUGCACCACAUCAGGAUAUCUUGAAUGCUAUGAACACCACUACAAACAUAACCAUACUGAUGGAAGCCUCAGAACACUCACUUGAAGAAGUGCUCAUCUGUGAGGAAAACAAUAAUGCAACAGGACCACCUCACACUAAACAGAAAACAAUUCAAGAUAACUUGGAAUGAAACACAUGCUUUCAUAGGAAACUCUGUUUUGAUGUUUCUCUCCAACAAAUUCCAGGCAAAGGAACUACAGCAGUUCCUAAUGGGAUUCACCUCUAUUUGCUGCCAAACAUCUGUGCUCUUAACUACAACUUGCUGCCAGCUUCAGCCUAUGUCCUGACAUUGCUCAGCAAUGCUUUAGAUAAAGAGCAAGGGUAAAGGAGGUGGGGGGAAGGUUGCUAUCCUGUCCCCUAUCCAAAUGAAAAAAAAAAAAAAAAUCUCUAAGACAUAUGGUCUUGCAUAAAAUAACCAUCAGAGAGAAGCCUGGUGCAGUGUCAGGUUAGUGAGAAUAUUCCAAUUAUACAAUGUCUAAGCAGUACCUCAUUUGCAGUCACUGAGUAAACUACAUGUAGAUGACAAGACUGUGGGUCAUAAGAGAUGUGUAUUUUAACAGUAUCAGAACCUUUACCCCCAAAUUAUUAAAAACAACCCUAAACCCAUUAUUUAUCAAGUAAUAUAAAUAAGAAUCAAGAGAAACUAUUAUUUUCUGUAACAGGAAAAAAGUUGUUUGGGCUAUUUAGCUUGCCUUUUCUUUUUUUUAUUAGUAAGGAAAAUCUGGCUUGAAGAAACUUAUCACCAAGGAAAUACUAGAUUUCAAUUGGACUUGGGAGUGUUUCAGUUUAAGCAAGUUUUACAGCAUCUCUUAUGUAAUAGAACUGAUAGCCAUGCAGGGAUAACUGACAAGUCAAAUCCAGAUCAGAAGGCACAUGCAUGCUCACACAAACUGGAACCAUGUCAGUCAUGUUGCUGGCUUAUCAAGCUCUGUUCUCCAGGAGAACAUUAUAUGGUUUGUAAUAUGUCAGAGAAUGUCAAAUUAAGGGCUGCACAGCAGUGAAGGGUAGAGCAGAAAGCAUUCUAUUCCAGGCCAUUGAUUCCUUUUAACAACUACAUGCAGUAAUUCCCAAAACUAUCUACUCAGUCUCAAUCACAUGGAAAACAUAGCACAAUGUUAGUUCUAAACCUUGCACCCAGUGCAGCUUGAUUAUUAGACCAUCCAAGGGGAUUAAAGAUGAUUGAUUUAAUCAGAAUAAUUCUUUUAAUGAUAACUUGUUGCAUUUCUCUUCCCCCCACCUCCUUAAAUGUUUAAUAGUUCACUUCCUGGAUUCCCAGUGCAUAAACUGAGCAUAUUUUCUUCCUACAGGAAAUGAUCCAAUUAAGUUGAUGUAUAAUUGAUAAUGAACUGUUUAAGCUGAUUUUUCUCUUGAAAAAAAUCUUAAGAGCAUGCAGUAGUUGCCUGACCCUUCUUCCCUCAUCUGCAGCUGAGGGACAUAAUUUAAGGAAAAAAGGGGGAGCAGUCUCAACAUACUCUAAGCAAGGUAGACUAGGGAGGAAUUUCAGCUCUAGUGAGCUGAGCUGGCUCAGGGCAAAAAUAUUGACUACUUGAAAAUCAUUUAGUCCCUGAUUACUACUCAAUAAUCAAGUUGCUUGCAACUUGGCCAGUGAGACACAAGGAGUUUAGAUACAAGUGGCUCGGUAAACAUUCACAUUAGAGAUACUGUGCAUGUACCAGAACGUCUUAACAUUGGUGCACUAAGUGUUGCAGUUGCUAAGCUUCCCAUUCUCCAUAAAUAUGAACUCUGCCAACCUGUCUUGUUGCCUUAAAGCAGGUAACAGUGGGAAAUGUUGAUAGACUCCUACAAGUUUAGUAAUUUACUAUCACUCUAGUGCAAUGUCAAAAAUUGAUGUAGGGAGACUGGAACAUAUUUUUGUAAAGUCAUUGCAGUAAGUUUUACAAACCCAAAAGCUUAAAAUUGUUCUUAAUUUGAAACAGUUCUUGCCUACCUCAACACAACUGACUACCACUUGCUAGGUUUUGUUCUUUUCCUUGCUCUGGCACCAACUCACUGUCCAACAUGGGUCACUUCUCUCUCUGUGCCUCUCUCCCUGCUGACUUUUUGUUAGACUGUAAGGCCUAUAGGUACAGGCCUGCUUUACAUCAAGUCUUGUCAACAGGCUAUGUGGCUCCACUUUCUACUGAAGUAUCAGGGUACAAGUGUUGUGACAGUGACUAUCACCACAUUGAAGAUAAGUGACUAGCUAGGCAUUGAGAGCUGUUGAGCAUGACACUAUCACAUACAUUUUAUGCAGUGCUUCAUUUUGGCCCCCACUGAUCUGGCUUGUCAUCAAUCCAUCUAACUCAAAGGUAGGAAUGUAUUGUCACGUACAAUGAUUGAUACAGGUACCAUCUACCUGACAUGGAAUCUCUCUAUAUUCAAUAGAUAUCCUUCACCAUUGCUCAAAUGAAUCUCAAUUCUCAAGGGAUUUUGCUGACUGUUCUUUACAAUCAGAGCAGACUUCCCUCUAUCAUCAACAAGAAUUUUACUGGAAUUAAUUUUUACAAUUAGGCAGUAAGAUUUUUACAGCACUACCUGCUUAGACCACUUUAGUAAGACUCUGCCACUGGGUAUGUUAUUAAUAUAUUUUCUCAAAGGACCGUGGAUGCUUUUAAUCCUUUGUUCAAUUUUACUGUUCCUAGGUAUGCUCAUUUUAUGCUUCUAAGUAACUCCACUUUAGCCUUGGAGUUUGCACCCUACAAACACUGAGGUCUCUUCUCCCACAGGUUACCCUUUCACCAAGAGAUGGAUACAUGAGUAGAUACUGAGAUAUCUGAUCAUGUGGGGUAAGGUACCAUGAAGCAAGUGGUGCUACUAAUUUCAGUGCAAGCAUUUUCAAACACACAACCCCCGCAAAAAAAAAAAAAAAAAAAAAAAAAGCUCAGCCUGAGAAAAGAACUACUGAUGCAUGUAUUAAUGUAUUACUCUGUUCUUUCAGGAAUCAUUCCUUUCUGUCAUACUGCUGUCCCUUUCACUAUUGUAGCUGGCCAGUUAGCUAACCUUCCUCCAAUUUUUGUGAAUACCAUUCCUGGACUGAGAUCUGUAGAGCUGAACACAGUAGUCAAGGUACAGCUGCAGGGAGACUGUUCACAGGCAAUUAGUAACUUGUUCUACUGUGUUCUGUCUCUUCAUGCGUACACUGAGAUCCCAGACUCAAUGAGUCUCUUAUUUUGUUGCAAUAUUAUCUAUGAAUUUGCAAUUUUUUCUGGACAAACUUAAAACUUUAUGCUAAGGGUUGAGGUUUUUUCCUGAUACGCUCAACCAACUUGGAGACAAUUUAAAUUCCAAAGAACAAUGUAAAAAUACUCUAGGUGAUGCAACUGCUCAGCUUACAUGCCUCAAUCAUUUUUUUUUCAGUAUGUUUAAGGGUGGUUUUCCCACAUAAAAUGACCAAUUCAAAACUGAGGACUUGGAAAAUAAGCAAAAAGAGUGCUUUAUAAUUCUAUUUCUAUUCCUUUUGAGGUAGAAUUCUUAAGAAAUUUUGUAACAAUUAAAGAUAAAACAAUUCUGGACUAAACUUUUUUUGUUUCUAAACUGACUACUUCCUCUUAAGUUCUGCAUGUAUCAGUUCCUGAAGUCUUAUCUGAUAAGUUUUUGUGGGGUUCCUUAAGUGCAACAUAUAUUUUAACUUCCCGUAUUAAGUGCUGCCAACUCACUUUAGUAUAAGAAUGUGUUUAAGUCUACUUAGAACUGUCACAUGCUCUAAUAAUGUUACUGAAGUGAGUUCCAUUAAUGUAACUUUAAAAGGCAGGAGCCUUGCCUGCAGAGACAAGUGGACAACUUUCACUCACAAUUCAGUAGGAUUUGUGUUCACUUAAGCAAAAGGGGAAGCAGGGAUCUUUCACUGGUUUUGUUUUUCAGAACGCGGCACACAAAAGCGAUUCAUAUUUGCUGAGCUCUGCAAACCCCAUGCACAGAAACAUGCCAUCAAAGCAGGCAAAACAUGAGAAAAUCGCAGAAAAAAAUGGAAAUAAAACAACAUACUGAUUUACAGUAGAGUGUUUUGGGAACAUUACAGAAACUUUUGCCUUAUGAAAGAUACAGUCUGAUGUUAAUCAAACUGGGUUAGGGCAGACAAGCAGGCAGGGCACUAGAAAACAACUCUAACAAUGGAGUAGAGGCAUAUUGUCUUGUCUAAAGGCUCCAUGUGUUUGAGUUAAGUGGUAGCAGCAGCUUGGCUCCCAGCUCCUUAAUUAGGCUUCUUCUCAUUAUUCUUCCAGUCAUAGUUUCAUAAGUGAUCAAACAGUUAAAAUAAGCAGUGUUCAGAACAGCAACAUUAUCUGCUUCUACAAACUUCCCCUGCUCCCCUCCUUGACAGAGUCCAGUACUGGUUCUAGAGUUUACCUGAUGCCUGAGAAAUUGUGUCUCAGACUGAGCUAUUUAAUGAGUAUAAAGUCUCCACAGUUUCUCCUGAUGAAAGCACUGGAUCAGGACCACCUAUAGUUAGACACAAGUGAGGCACUCUUGAGUUAGCCUGCUUACACACUGCUUACAGCUCAGUAUUCUUGUAUCAAGAGAUGUGCAGCCUCAUGACCCACAAAGCCAGGUAGGAAGGUGCUAUAUUGGUUACGACAGAUGGACUUGGAUCUAACAAUGUAAAUGAUAAAUUCCCAAAUAGUUCUUUAUCAAAUGGGGAGGGGAAAAAAAUCCUAUGUAGGAAAGGAAGAGAAAAAAAGAAUGCAUUUCAUUUUCUUAUAUCACUAUGUGACAGUUUCAUACUACAUAAAUUGUGCACUCCAAAACCUUUACAGUUCACACUGCUCUGGCUUGCUCAUGAGGCCACACUCCAUGUAAUUAUCAGCCAAACCACAUCAGUAAACCGUUUCUGAUAGCAUAAUAACUUGCCUUCAGCAUUUUUCUUUUAAGCUCUAGACUUCUGCUUAUAUUUAUUUACUCUGACAAUGCUGUUCAGUUGCUACUUUGUAAAGUUAGAUAUUAGCAAUGCCAGAAGAGCUGGAAAGUUCAUAAAACAGUGGCCUCUAGAGAAGACUGCAUAGUUUUAUAUUGUUAGUUGAUAUUAUUCAACAGAAACACAACACAGCAUGGUGGUGCUUAAAUCCUUACUAAAUUCACUGGGAUUUUAUCUGAAGUAAGGAGGUGAAAACACAAUGCAAGCUUUUCAACAUCUGAAAUUUAGCAUUUACAGGUUUUCUGUAAAUGCUAAUCUCCAAGUCUCUUGAAUGUUAAUCCAUGGCCACAGUCAAACACAGUUAAAAUGUCCAAAGAAAAUAAACUGGAGUAAUUGCUUAGACCUCAAACAACUGCAGAAGCAGGUAUUAACAGAUACUCUACGAUGAAGCUCAUCACUUUUUCUGCCAUCAAUCAAUUAAUUGCUCAGCUCUGGCAGAAUUUGCUGCAAGUGUAACAAUGUAGCAGCCAAAACAUUUCACAGCUGAGUCCAGUAGGGACAAAUGUAGCAAAGGCUUUGAGCAGCUGCACCUUCCACACCACCUUUUAAGCAAUACCUCUGCAUCUUUGUGAUGUAGGUAUUUCAUUUUUAUCUGUUUUGAAAUUAGGUUUCCCUUUAAUGACAGAGUGUCCCUCUGAGUCUGUAUUCUCUAGCUAACUUGCAAACUGAAAUGGAUUUAUAAUGAUGAAUGAAAAGGAAACUUGUGACUAUUUCAUGUUCAAUUAGAUCUGCUUAUCAAUUUUAUAAUGCAAUGAGAAUGAAUUGUCAUAAUCAGUCAAAACCCUUUCAAAGAAAAUUGAGUUAUAACUACAGCAUACAAAAAAAUCACAUUAAUACAGCCACCACAUAUGCAUUUAAAGAAGAAAGACAGAAAGAGAGAAAGACAGAAAGAAAGAGACUAUUUAUGGAUACUUCUGUCCAUGCUCAGUGGUAAAACAAGAAUGCUGGCAGGGUAUCAUUCUCCCAUUGCUUCCACCAAAUACCUUUAUGGAUGCUUACUAGAGAAGAGAAAAUGAGAGUUUCAAAUGCCUGGACAGCUAAAUAAAGCUCUAGUUAGACAGUGCUUCGCAGGAAGCUGUAAACAAUAUUCAAGCCCCUAAAAGCUCCCAAGAGCUAUGAAAUCACUAGCACUAACUGAUUUUGUUUGAUCCUUUAUCCCAACAAGUGAGAGUGACACAGGUAAGACCGAAGACAGUUUCCUAUCAGAAAGGCUUUCUGGACUUUUAUGGACUGAAAUAUGCAGUAAACCAAGUGUUAAAAUGUCUAUUCCAUCUGCAGUCAUUAAAUAAAACCCUAAACAAUUCAGGAGUUCAGUCAUAGUUUAAAGAAGACAACACAUUUAAGCUGUAGAAUAGUAUACUUUAAGUUUGCUUUUUCUGUACAGUUCCUGUCAGUGCUAAGAUGUUAUCUUAAAACAAAGGGCUGCCAUUAUGUGUGUCUUUGCUUGUGCUACAGCUCUGAUAUGCACAAAUCUGGGACUUUUACACUCAUGUUUUUCACAAGUUCCAGAAGAAGCUGGAUUGAGGCUUGUGCAAACACCAUCUGCCAAAUCUUAUCAGAAAUGUUUCCCCUACUCUGUCCACAAAAAAAAAGUGAAGGUGUUUGAAAGCUCCUGGAGGUAUGAAAGAGGCAGACUGGCACUGCUACUAGCCAAAGACUGCCCAAAAAUACCUUGGCCAAGAAUGGGGGAUAGUGGGACAGCCUACAAGAUGUGCCAAUCUCCUGUAUGUUUGACUUACAGACUUCUUAAGCUGAGCUCUUCAGAAAUCUCAAGUGAUUGUGCUCCUGCUGCUUCAUCAAAGAGCAAGAAGAAUGGAGAAACCUAAUGCCUUGGAAGGGGCCAAACUGCAGGUCAGGGACCUUUGUAGGAAAGGAAAACUCCAAAGGCAAAUGUCUUCAUGCCUUUAUCUAGUUCUAUCUUGACAUAGAGAUUUUGAAAUGUAGUAUCCUCGGAAAGUUAAACAUUCAGCUCUUUUUAAAUAAGUCUAUCACUAGUGACUUCAGCGUUGCAUCACUUCACACUGGCAGAAUAACCAGUUCUUUUAAGUCUUUGAAAUGGCACAGAAUGAGAUUUUUUAAAAGGAGUACCACGUGGGCUGUACUAUCUUUUCAGGAAAAUAAAUGUUACUGCAUGAAAAGGUUGAUUAUAUUUCUUUAGAAUGUUCAAGGAAGCUUCUGAAAAUACAUUUAUUUUAAGGAAUGAGAAGGAAAAUAAGUUGCUUAAUUAUGACAUUACACAAAACACACUAUUGAAGUGAAAUGAUAAAUUUGUGACUGCAUAAUAUCCUGUAUGAGAGUAGUAUCCUUUAUUUGAAAAAAAAAAAAAAGGGGGGGGUGGAAUUAAUUGUAAUGGGAUCUCUCUCAGAAGAAAAGGAUUUCGUUAUUGGUUUUGCCUUGACAUUUAACAGUAAGCUUUUUUCCUCUGUGGUGCAUAUAUGCAGCAGCAGCACUUUUAACCUCCCAUAAAACACAUAGUGUUUAGUCUAAGAUGAAGCAAAUAAAUUAGGUCUCCACAAGCAAAUGUGUCAUCUUGACACAUAGCUAAAAUACUGUCCUGCACUGAUCAGAACCAAAAUGUUCCUCCUGCUCUGACCCCUUCUUGAAAAUAACAGUAAUCAGUUCAAUAGCCCCAUCUCACUGAUGGGACUUUCUCAUGGUACGCUGAAAACAAGGAACUGCAACUUACCACUUACUGGGAAAACAACUGUUUAAAAUCAAAUACGUAUUCAAAAUGCUUCUCUGUAUGGGAAGAUUUGAGCAAUUCAUAAAUUUCACCCAUUCCUAAUGAUUUUAACCAGUUGUUCUCAACUCUCUUUGGGUGUCUCAAUUUGUUUUAAACCAAAACUAUACCAGCCAUUCCUCAAUGCAACUCCCACAAGCUCACUGCACUUGUAUGGAACCCUCAAACUCCAUACAAGGUUUGAGCAUCAAUAAUUGCAGGAGUGGCAGGAAAUGUUAAUUUACAGAGCUGCAUCUCUGAGAUAAGGAGAACAAAUUCUGCCUGAAAAAGCAAGUGGGAUUGGAGAGUAUGCCAUAGUCUUGAGGAAAUGUUAAGCUUAUUGCCUGAUACUCACAGAAUUGAUUAUCCCCUUAAGUGCUUGGAAUCCUCCAGUGACAGGGAAGACUUGCUCUUUCGUGUCAGCAAUUUUUUCAAGCUUUGGAGAGAGAACACAUGCAAACAUGUGAGUCAUUUGGCAAAUUAAAUACAUCACACUGCUUUUCAGCCUUAAAAUGUAAAUGGCUGUCUAAAAACAACUCCCAUCAACUUGGCAAAGAGAAGGAAUUUUUUUAGUUCCCUCACAGCUAACUAUGUGUCUUCUAAAACAAACUUGCAGAUGUCCCUGCUCAUUGCAGGGUGGGGUUAGACUAGAUGACCUUUAUAGGUCCCUUCUAAACUAUUCUAUAAUUCUAAAUGGGAGGACUUAACUACAACCUAAUGCAGCUAACAAAAUGGUAUAGUGGAUAGCCAUCAUGUCAAACCACCACAUGAAAUAAACCUUUCAGAGCCUGUAUCUUGGCAGUGAUUUUGCAGCAGUUUCCAGAAUUACCUCCCCUAUUUGCUGUGCCUUCCAUUAAAAAGCCUUUCUAUGGCCCUUGUAUAUUAACAAGUCUUCUGUGUACUUCUCCAUUUAAGUCACUUUCCCAGUACAAGAGUAGCUACAUCCCCGAUUAGGACACAGCAGCUCUGGAAGAACUAUCAGGCAAUGAAAGACAUGGACCCUUCUUAUCCCAAAGUUGUUAUAUACUCUGCUUGAAGUUUGUUUAUAACUACUCUGUUAAUGCGACCUGUAGCCUAAUUUAGUCACCACCUUAAUGAAAGUGGUUUUGCCUGCAUCCUUUACUGCUGGCAGCUACCAGUCAGCAAGGGUAUUUCCUGUGGGUCUUCUCAGCAAUGAAGGUGACACGCAUUCUAUUUAUGUCCAUGUACACAUCUGAGUGUCUGCUUCCUAAGCCUCAGUGCCUAAUGUAAGUAAAAUUAAUUUAUAUAUUAUUUAACAUUAACUGUAUAAAACCCUGACAAGAUACUGCCUAGUAGCCUAAAAUGCUAAUGUUCUUACCUGUUCUUGUACAAAACCAAGGACGCCAACACAGUACACUCUAGCUCCCAGUUCUCUGGAUUUCUUUGCCUGCCCCAGAAUAGAACAGAGGAAUAAGAAUUUUUUUCAUUCAAUAGACAGCACACAAACUUUUCAGAAUAUAACAUGCAUUUAUUUACAUCUAGCACUUACCUCUUUCUCUGCAUACAAGGGAAUCUGACCAUCUAGUUUGCCAUCUGUCAAUGCAAUGAUGAUACUAGAAAACCUUGAGGCUCCUUGCUUCGCAAUUUGCACAUUGGCCUGAAAACAGAAAAUAUUUAUGCAGCUUAAAAUUACACUUGAACUUUUAACCAAAAUACUUCUUCUAAGCGAACAUAGUAUCUGAAACAAUGCUGAAGUCUUAUCUUCAAACCCAUCUCUUGUGACAAUCUUCUGUCUCUCUUUUACUCUUUACUAACAAGGAAGUCAUUCAUCAGUAUUUUUCAGUCAGUGGUCAGCCCACCUCCAAAGUGCUGGGGUCACUAACUGAUUAACCCUUGGAAACACUUGAUUAUUUCAGGAUGGAUACCCUGUGAGUUGUCAAGAUCACUUCUCCUUACAUCCACCAUAAGGUUUCCUUUGCUACUCCUCAGAUUUCAAAUGCCAGUCAAUAGGUUCCAAGAUACAAGAAUGGCUUAAAAUAUAUAUAUUUUUAAACAGCAAGAAACUUCUGUUUGCCUAGCUUUUCAGCCUGCAGAUCACAAUUACAAACUGGGCUCCACAGGCAUAGAGGAAAAAAAUUAGUUUCUAUUCCUAAUAGUGAAAGUUUGGAUCCUUACCUUCAGGGCCCAAGUCUGAGCAAAAUGGCAAAACAUACUUUAACUGUAUGUCUGAAGAAAAUAUAAGCAGUUGGAACUCCAUAAUUUGGAUAGUCCAAAAUUAAGACCCUUUAUCUUGAAAACGGUGAUCUGUGCAGUAAACUCUCCAUAAGCAUGUGCUCUAGAAAGUACGGUUACACUCACAGCCCUACAAAGCUGUGUGUGACCAUUUACCAGUAAUAACUGGUAUGCUGCAUUAGCUGUUUGAUUGAUAACAAAGAAUCACUCGCUAUUGCGAAGGAUCAAGUCAAACAAAUUCCAUAUGGAAAUUUUCUGUGAUGGUUAAUCUUCUGCAUGGGAUUUGCAUAGUAUCUGAGCAAUCUUGGGACCAUUUUGAAAACCAAAAAGAUUUGAUUGUAACAGAUUGAGACAUAAAACCAAUCCAUUUAUGUUACAGGUUGCUGUUGUUAUCCAGAUAGUGAGAAGAGAGGAUAUUUUGAUUGCAAGAAGAUAAGUAAAGCCUACCUGUUUUAAUCCUUCAUGUAUGUAUGUAUCACCUGCUGGUUUUACCUCUUCCAAAUCCUUGAGACCUUUCUUGAUUUUCUCUCUGAAAAGGAAAAGGUAAAAGACUGUUAGUAUGAUUUGAAACAGGGAAAGGGGUUAGUUUAUUGAUGGAAAAAUCAGUAUUUGACAUAAGGGAGGUCUGAAAUUAAAAUCUGUAAAAUAUAGCAUUCAGCUGAGAUACCACGCGGAGGCAGAUUUUAUAUUCACAAUGGGAGCAGCAAUGUGGUAACGGAUAUUUUAGACCUAAAUAACACAAUAUGCCUUAGUGAGACAAAGAGCUAGAUUCAAGUAAAAUGUUUCAGACAGAGCAGAUAUUGCAAAGAAGUGGCAAACCCUCAGCAUAAAGAUAGCCCAAUGGAAAUUCUGUUAUAUUAAGUCUACUUUGCUCAAUUAAAUGAACUUCACUUCCAAUCAUGCUGCAAUUAAAAAAGAAAACCCUUAAAACAGCUGUUCUAUAUCUAGAAUAAGCUUCCAGGUCAAUAUACAGGUAUUUAAUGGGGUACGGCAGAAUCACAAUAAUUAAAAUCCUCUCCUUAAAAAAUGCACCAUUUGCAAGACAACUCUUGUAUCCAACGAAAGGGACCAGGAUUAAAGAUAGUUUUAAAUUUCUCAGCUGUCGCUACCUUUCUGUGUGACCUUUGACAAGACAUCACACUUACACAGGUUGCAGCUCACUUAUGUUUAACCAGAGGAUGAAGUUGUGCCAUUAUUUCUCAUGGGCUUUUAAAUAAAUCCAUCACUGACUGCGACAUGCUCAGUUAACUAUGAUGGUAAGACUGGAGAAGCACAUAGGUAGCACAAAAGGAACUAUUUCCAGUGAAAUCAAUAUGAGUGGGGAAAAAAGGCAGAGAGACUUUACUGAAAGAAUCAAAUCUGGAAGUUUUUAAUUAUUAUACAAAGUUCUAGUGAAGCUUGUGGAAAGUUGUUCUAGGGAAGGACAAGCAAAAAAUAAGCAGAGAAAAAAUCUGGGCCAGAAUGUAUAAAACACUAUAACAAAUACAGGUGACACAGAGGAAACCAUCAGGGGUGAGGAGAUGGAGGGAAAAUACAUUAUAGGAAGCGUGAAAGCUUUCCUUAGGGUAAACAAAAUGAGAAAGAAUGCAUAUGUUGCUCUGCCUGAAUGCCACCCACAAGUCAUUUGUUCCACUGAUGGGCUUCCUCUAUGUUUAGAAGCUCUGUUCCAAAGUACAAUCCAUAGCUGUAAUAAGCUUCCAAUCACAGGAUCAACUGAUAUGAUUGGGAAGCAGGUGGGGAAAAAAAAAAAAGAAAGAAAAAGAAAAAAAAAAGUGGCAUUGAAUAUAUGGACGAGAACAAAUUAUGUAAGAUAAUACAAUCUGUUUGAUCCAAAUAUUUUACAUUCUGCAUCUAAAGAAACAACUUGAAACUGAUUAUGUAUGAACGCAGAUUAUAAACCAUUCAUGCUUGCCAGAAAUGAGCGGCAGCACAUCACAGGCAUUAGUGUUCUGCUGCCAAGAAACAAGCAGCAAGUGAAGUCCCAGUUUUCUGAAACAGAUUUCAUUUUGCAAAAAUAGCUUUUGUACAAUCGCUUCAGUUUUACUUAUUUAAAAUGUCUUGUGACCCAGUCACACAGAAGUCUCUGGUGUUUCCAGGCCUCUGACUACAAGAGGUUCCAGGAAAAUCUUUGGUGGCAUGAGCUUGUUUAGCUGCAUUUAAUCAGUCACCCUCUCUUUCCCUUGGGGCACAUCUGUACCACAUAGGCCCAGCCAGGUGUGAACAAGCUCCACCCAUGCUCUGAGUUGAUUAGGUACCAGCGAGUCUUGGCCUGGGUGUCACAAGGCCAAUGCACAUGCAUGACUUUGACCCCAGCAAAUGAGCCCCACCAGACAUCAAGAGAGGUUAGUUCAGUCAUACUAAAACUCACACUGAGCAGGCCUGGAGGGUGGGCACAGGAGUUCAUGUGUGCCUGAACCAUAUUGAUAAUGGGACACACUUUAGUCAAUCAGCCAUAGCACUCUGAAGCCCUCAUUCCAUCUCUCCAGUGCUCUCAAAACUCUCUUUUCCCUAGUUUUUGUAAUAUUUUUUGUAGUUAUAAAAUCUACGGAAAAAGUCUAGUUUUAAAACUCAUCUGUACUGAAAUAACCUCAAGUUCCAGUAUAAGUUGGGGAAUGAUCUAUUAGAGAGCAGCAUAGGAGAAAGGGACCUGGGGGUCCUGGUGGACAGCAGGAUGACCAUGAGCCAGCACUGUGCCCCUGUGGCCAAGAAGGCCAAUGACAUCCUGGGGUGUAUUAGAAGAGGAGUGGUUAGUAGGUUGAGAGAGGUUCUACUUCCCCUCUACUCUGCCCUGGUGAGACCACACCUGGAAUAUUGUGUCCUGUUCUGGGCCCCUCAGUUCAAGGACAGGGAACUGCUGGAGAGAGUCCAGCGCAGAGCCACGAAGAUGAUGAAGGGAGUGGAGCAUCUGCCUUAUAAGGAAAGGCUGAGGGAGCUGGGUCUCUUUAGCUUGGAGGAGACUGAGGGGUGACCUUAUUAAUGUUUACAAAUAUAUAAAGGGUGAGUAUCAUGAGGAUGACACUUGGUGACAACCAAUAGUAGGACGAGGGGUAAUGGGUUAAAACCGGACCACAAGAGGUUCCACUUAAAACUGAGAAGAAACUUCUUCUCAGUAAGGGUAUAAGAACACUGGAACAGGCUGCCCAGGGGGGUUGUGGAGCCUCCUUCCCUGGAGACAUUCAAAACUCUCUUGGACACAUUCCUGUGUGACCUCAUCUAAGUGUUCCUGCUCCAGCAGGGGGAUUGGACUAGAUCAUUUUUCGAGGUCCCUUCUAAUCCCUUACAUUCUGUGAUUUUAUGAUAAUAGAACUGUGACCCCAGUCUGGGUGUCUGGACAUUACCACAGUACAAUUCAGUAGCAGUGAUAAAGGUCAAAGUGUCAUUGGCUUUGUGGUUUAAGUCAAACAAUGGAGGGAGGUGCAAAAAGCAUAACAAAACCAGCAACUUGAGCCUGUCUGUGUUUGGGCUCAAUUACUACAAAUUUAAUAUCUCUUCUCCAUUCAGCAUAUGCACUGCAUUACACCUCUGUAUUUUAGAAAAGGCACAUCUAAUUUUUAAUAGUAUCCCUGUCUGUUCUCUCUUUAAAUUUUGUACCUACUUCAGGUAAUUCUUCCAGCAGCAGCCAGGAAACACAACCAUGGCUACAAGCUCUCUGUCAGUUUGAUCUGUGGGUUCUUUUUACCUAUUCCAUGAACAGGGGCUGCAGCUGAAAUCCCAGCCCGGCUGAGAUCAGGAAAGGUUCUGGUGGUAGCUUCAGCAGUACCCGCUGGUUUUAUCUCUUUGAGCAACUCUGCUGUAGGUUGUCUCGGAGGGCAGGAACUUGCACCAGUAUUGGACAGAGGGCUUGUUUGCUAUCAGAGAGACUGUGCCAGCUCUGCUGCGAGGUAUAUGAGCCUAUCUACAAAUACUGCUCCCUACAUGGGACAAAUUCUACACUGAACUUGUCUUGCACCAUCAGUGUUUCACCAAGACAGGGCACUAUAGAAUUAUAUUUAGAAAUGAGAACAUACCAUUUAGUAAAGAGAGAUUACAAAGCAGCCCAGCUUUUCAAACAACCUAAUCCAUUUAAGAUAAAUUAAAAUGUAGCAACCUCUCCUUACCUGAGCAUGUGUCCUGGUUUUGUUAAAAACAAGACCAGUUUCUCUUUUAGUGAAUUUUCCUUUCAGCUGAGUUCUUCUAAGUAAUUGCACUUCUCUGAAGUUGGCUACAUAUUUUUGUAAACAGACAUAGCAAUGGAAUGCAAGGUCACUGAUAAGGAUGCAUGUCCCGUAAGUGAGAGGGGCAAGGAGGAGUGAACUGAGCAAGUGACUAAAACUGACCAACUAAGUAUUCCAUCCCAUCCACGUGAUACUUCACAUAAAAGUGGGAGAUCACGAGGGUCUUGUUCUUCUUUGACUAUGGCCAGCAUCUAGGGAGGACCCUGUUCGCCAUCCCUGCAAUCUGAGGCCUAGUGACAGACCCUGCAUCCUUUAAUCCAGUUCACUGCAGAGUCCAAACCAGGACUUCCAGGUGCCUGCCCUGAAGCUGCUGGAGCAGUGCUGAGCUUUGCCAGGAAAUUCAAGAAUGGUUUUGUAUAUUUUGUAUUAUUUUCUCUAUUUUACUAGUAGAAUUAGUAAAACAUUUUUAAUUCUUUACAACUUGCAAGUCCUCUCUCUCUUUGCCUCUCUUUGCCCUCCUGUUGCCUUUCCUUAGCGGGGGGCCGGAGGGGGGACUAAGGGGAAUGGGAAAGGGGAGUGGCUUAACAAAGCAUCUGCCAUGGUUUAUUGUCACCCUGCAUUAAACGGUGACAGCAUGCUCCACAAUUCAGAUCUGCUUUAAAUGUAAACAUUUGCCUUUCAGAGUUGGAGCAUGCCAAAGCAACUAUCAGCAGAAGUUUACAGGGGAGGUUUCUCUCUGCAUAAGCUCUGUUUCACCAAGCUGCAAGCUUUUAUUUAGGCAACUCAACAGACAUGAAAAAAUACUGAAGACGUAUCUACAGAUGUUUUUUUUACAAAAGCAAAAGCAAGACAUGUUUCUCCUGCUGUGCCAAGGAAGAUGCAGAGAUGAAAAAAUUAUUUUUAGUUGCUCUGCAAAGCAAUGGCAGAGUUCACAUCAAGAAUUUAUUCCACAUCAUUGUUCUCCUUACUUUUUCACUAGGAUAUCCAUUGAUAUGUUCACAAAAUUAAAUCCAGCCCUACACAGAGGGUUCAUGACUGGCCACCACUUAAAGGUAUAGGUUAUUUUUCAGUAUCUGUUACUGUUCCUCUGAUUGAAUAAGAGUCCUUGGGCGGAGAGGAGGGAGUGGGAGAAUUAAAAAAGCAGUGCACUGACCUGUCUCCAGUUAAUGGCAUAAUGACGUGUGCCUGGGUGGAAAACACGAUAAAUGAUAAUCUCAUCUUGGGGCUUUUAAAAAAAGGGAAGAAAACAAGCAAACAAACAACAUUUUAAACAAAUUAAAAUAAAUGCACAGAUGCAUAGAAUUUCAUUUGCUUAUUCAUGCUUCAUUAGUAUCAUCUUUAUCCUCCAGCUUCUAAAGAACAUACUUUCAACUACAAACACAGAAUGAGAGAGGAAUUAAAAGGUAUCUGCCCAUUUACUCCUUACUGAGAUACUUUGAGAAUGAAGUAGCAGAAUUAUUCUUUCUUGCCUGACUGGACUCCAGAUCACGACAUGCUAAACUUAAGAGUUAAGAUCUCAUUGCAACCUAACUGAAAAUGAAUUUCACAGGUUAUGAUCUACCAAAGUACAAAAGGGCCAGCCCAGCUUCGAAGAGCAGCGAUUAGGAACCGGACGGAGAGAGAGGACUUUCGGAGGUGUGAGUGCUCGCCGUGCAGCCUCGCGGGGCCGAGACUCCCGCAGCUGGACGAAGCCCACCCAUACCCGGGGUUCGCCUUGGUUUGUGCAAAUUUUAAAAGUCCACAAGAGCUGACAAAACUGUUUGCAACGGACUAGAAGUACCUUAUUCCAUGCUGACAAUGAAAACUCAUAAUUAAAACAGGACCUGUGGCUCUCCAAGCUUUUCUUACUUUGGGAGGGCAGGCAUGUCGCCUCAUACAUUUCUCUGAACUGCUUCCUCACUGGGAUUUGAUGCUCAACCUAUCCAUUAAGUCACUGUGUGUCAACUACCCCUAUGAGAUUUAACUUUUUUUUUUUUUUUAAUAAAUUAUUAAAGGAGUUGUUCACUUUCUGAGCAUUCAUUUUAGUUGUUUGCCAGGGGCGCUGAACAUUUUUCUAAACCAGCAGCCAUCUAAAAAACUGUUGCAAACCAUGUUGCCAUGCAUGUUAGCCAUUUUCUACAAUAUAUCCAAACUGUUGCUCUGGGACUGUGCGUGUGGUAACCACCAACACGUACUGAUUUACAAUAGACUCCGCAAAACUAAAUAUAGAGCAGACAUUUGGUUUGAAGCAUAAGCUGGAUCCUUCACAGUAAACAUGAGGCACUGUAGAAAGCGUCACUUUAUGCUGUGAGAAUAUUAUCUUUCAGAUUUUUCCAUCUGUGGUUUCAGAUUUUCACAGGAAGUUCAAAUGUGCUUAAUAAUCUUAAAAUAUUAUCUAAAGGCUAAGUAGAUGCCUGAAUUUUCUGUGAAGAAAAAUUUUAGUCAUGUGACAAACUGCCUAAACCAAAAUUAUCUUGUAAGUUAAAAAUAAACAUCUAGCCUCUAUUUCUUUGUUUCUCUUCUGAAGCUUUUGCCAUGAGUGCUAUGUGACAAGCAAUUAAGAGGAUCUGAAAAAAUAAAAAAAUAUUAUUCUUUCUUUCA